GACCAAGAAAAGGGUUGUGACAAUGAUCCGUUAUUACAAUACUCGUUUCAGUCUUAGAGAUACAUGAGUUUCUUGCUAACUUAUUAGGUAUAUGAUGAAUUAAAUAAAGCUCACAUUAACAUAAAAGGAAAUAACAAUCAAGAAGAUGAAAUUGCAGACUUAAUCAAAAGGACAUGAUACAAAGCCUACAUAUAAGAAAAAGGAUUAGUAGUCAAAGGAGAAGACUAAAUUUGUCCUUGCAACAAGAUCAGGAAGCACACCAGAGAUAAUAGUUGUUGGAGCAGUCCAUGAACUGAAUAUAGCCUCGAUCUGGUUUCUGGAUAGUCAUGAAAACAAUGAGUUUGCGAAUAAAUUAUGCUAAAUCCAGGAGACAAUACUUCUACAAGAAAUAAACAUAACACAUGCAAAACAUCUUCAAGCAAACAUGCCAUGAAGUUGUGAGAUGGAUAAUUAAUUAUAAAUGAAGAUCUGAACACACACCUGCACUGCAUCCAAGACGUUCAUAUACACAAAACGAAUUGUCCUAUGCAAGAGAGGCACAAUUGCUUCACAAUAGUGGCAUAGCAUUAAUGUUUUCCACCCUGUUGACAUAAACUCAAAUUAGAAGUUUAUUAUAAUUUUAACAACUCCAUGGUAAAAUAAAACAAGGUGCACCUGAAGACAAGUUACUUGCAACAGAACAUUAUCAAUGAGGAAAUAUAAAGUGCACUAAUAUAUUUCUAUAAUUUGCUGAACACUAAUGCUUCAGGCAUGGUGCAUGGAACCAAAAAAUGCAUACACUUCUUGGUUCUGAGGCUUUUAUCGUGUUAGUAUACACUGAAAAACACAUAUACUUCUACUAUUUCUUAAUUAGCAUUAUUGCUCAGCUCAUCAAUUUCGAAGGGAAAAAAGACAACCCAUUGUUAGAUAGGAUCUAAUUUUUUUAGCAGACAUGAAGUAAUUGAAACACAUAUCUUUGCUCAAGAAGAAGGCGAGGCAAGAAACACAUGUGGGGGUUGCAAUACUUACAUCAAUCUUAAUCUCCUGGGUGUUCGUCCACUUCUUGGCGAACAUGGUGGUCGUUUGCACUGGAUUUAGGCGAAGUACUCAGCAAUCUUCCCUUUGGUGAGUGCGACAGCAAUCUCUGCACAUUGCGGAGGAGAUAGGGGCAAUCGAAAUUUCCAUUGUCAGCACAUCAAACUGCAAAAUUAGCUAUUUCAGAAUUCCAUACUGAAGCUUUACAUACAUGUAUCUGUUCUAUCCUCCCCAUAUCCCAAAACGAAGAAGCACGCUGAAACUCUGCAACACACGAUGUGUAUCUGUCCUAUGUGUUCACCACAAUAAAUAAAUGGUGCCCGCAGGAACUGAAUCCUGAUAAUUCACAACUUGGUAAUCCCACACAAAGCUUCAAUAGUGAGAUAAGGCAAGCAAGAACAUCGAUCCGGCAUUCCGGCGCUUAGAAAAAGCAAGCCAGCACGUUGUAGUUAGAAGAAGCAAGGAACCAAUCACCUUAAUUAGCAGCAGAUUCGUCGUUGCAGACGAUGAGAAGCGGCGGUCGGCGGCGCAGGCGGCCGUGCUGUUUGUUCGGCGGUGGCGUACAUGGGACAGCAGAGGAGUGGCGGAGAUGGCGGCCUGCUAUCGCAUCCGUCGGAGGGGAAGCGGCGGGGGCGGCGGCCUGCUCUCCCGUCCGUCAGAAGAAGAGCGGCGGCGUACGCGGGGCAGCAGAGGAGUAGCCGUGAUUGGGGCCACGGCCUUCUCGUCGGAGGAGUGG
rnacentral:lncRNA from 1 species